CAAGUACUCCCUCCGUACGGAAUUACUUGUCAUCAAAAUGGAUGUGUCUAGAACUAAAAUACAUCUAGAUACAUCCAUUUCAAUGACAAGAAUUUUCGGACGGAGGGAGUACAAG
rfam:Triticum aestivum genome assembly, contig: Triticum_aestivum_CS42_TGACv1_scaffold_571909_7AS